rnacentral:rRNA from 1 species
ACGAACGUUGGCGGCGUGUCUAAGGCAUGCAAGUCGAGCGGAUCGCCAGUCGUAGCAAUACGGCCGGCGGUCAGCGGCAAACGGGUGCGUAACACAUUGGCAAUCUGCCUCGAAGUCGGGCACAACUCGCCGAAAGGUGAGCUAAUUCCACGAUGGACAUGAGGGGACGCAAGUCAUUCUCAUGUAAAGUCGCAAGACGCUUCGAGAGGAGCCUAUGUCCUAUCAGCUAGUUGGCGGGGUAAUGGCCCACCAAGGCAAUGACGGGUAUGGGGUGUGAGAGCACGACCCCACUCACUGGGACUGAGACACUGCCCAGACACCUACGGGUGGCUGCAGUCGAGAAUAUUCCCCAAUGGCCGAAAGGCUGAGGGAGCGACGCCGCGUGCGGGACGAAGGGCUUCGGCUCGUAAACCGCUUUUCUCAAGGACGAACACUGACGGUACUUGAGGAAUAAGAGGUUGCUAACUCUGU